rnacentral:rRNA from 1 species
CUCUACGGAAUAGCCUCGGGAAACUGAGAGUAAUACCGUAUACGCCCUUCGGGGGAAAGAUUUAUCGGAGAAGGAUCAGCCCGCGUAAGAUUAGAUAGUUGGUGGGGUAAUGGCCUACCAAGUCUACGAUCUUUAGCUGGUUUUAGAGGAUGAUCAGCAACACUGGGACUGAGACACGGCCCAGACUCCUACGGGAGGCAGCAGUGGGGAAUCUUGGACAAUGGGCGCAAGCCUGAUCCAGCCAUGCCGCGUGUGUGAUGAAGGCCUUAGGGUCGUAAAGCACUUUCGCUAGAGAUGAUAAUGACAGUAUCUAGUAAAGAAGUCCCGGCUAACUCCGUGCCAGCAGCCGCGGUAAUACGGAGGGGACUAGCGUUGUUCGGAAUUACUGGGCGUAAAGCGUACGUAGGCGGAUCAGAAAGUAUGGGGUGAAAUCCCAGGGCUCAACCCUGGAACUGCCUCAUAAACUCCUGGUCUAGAGUUCGAGAGAGGUGAGUGGAAUUCCGAGUGUAGAGGUGAAAUUCGUAGAUAUUCGGAGGAACACCAGUGGCGAAGGCGGCUCACUGGCUCGAUACUGACGCUGAGGUACGAAAGUGUGGGGAGCAAACAGGAUUAGAUACCCUGGUAGUCCACACCGUAAACGAUGAAUGCCAGUCGUCGGGUAGCAUG